GUACGACGAAGUUAGUAGAGGCUUGCUUUUAAACUUAGUGGCGGACGGGUGAGUAACGCGUGGGUAACCUGCCUUUCACAGGGGGAUAACAGUUAGAAAUGACUGCUAAUACCGCAUAAGCGCACAGGACGGCAUCGUCUAGUGUGAAAAAACUCCGGUGGUGAAAGAUGGACCCGCGUCUGAUUAGCUAGUUGGUGAGGUAACGGCUCACCAAGGCGACGAUCAGUAACCGGCCUGAGAGGGUGAACGGCCACAUUGGGACUGAGACACGGCCCAAACUCCUACGGGAGGCAGCAGUGGGGAAUAUUGCACAAUGGGGGAAACCCUGAUGCAAGCGACGCCGCGUGAGUGAAGAAGUAUUUCGGUAUGUAAAGCUCUAUCAGCAGGGAAGAAAAUGACGGUACCUGACUAAGAAGCCCCGGCUAACUACGUGCCAGCAGCCGC
rnacentral:rRNA from 1 species